GGGACCAGGUCGUGGAAUGACAGUGGACCACAGUGGUCCGGGGACCCCGCUCGUUGGUGGCAGGCACAGGCCCGUGUGAUGGGGACAAUGAGCUUUGGUAUUUGUGGUUUAAGGCGUGAAUGAAUGAAGGAGCAAGCAGUAAGCCCCGACAGCAAGGCCACCACAGCCCUCGCCCCACAGGGACGCCUGAGCAAGGACCCAAGCAGGGGACAAGCAGGCUCACCCCGCCCUUGCGGGGCUGACCACGAGGCCCCGUCCGGUGGAACACGCCAUGACGCUUCAGGAGGCUCAUGUAGCUGGCGCCGUAUGGGACAGCGGGGGAGAGAGAAAAUGCACAGCCCAGGGAAUGUGGAGACAGGCCCAGCGCCAGGCAUGGGGGCCGGAAGGAGCAGCCGGGGAGCAGGGGGCAGGGCCUGGAGUCCCGCCUUGCAGGUCAGAGGGCACCUCGCGCACGAGGGGAGUUCACCACACAAGCUGAGCGGAGGGCGGACGCAGGAGAGCAGCGGUUUCUCGGAAGCCAAGGGCGGUCAUGGAGCCCCACGCCACAGCGCUUCCCACGGGGCCACACCAUCCGGUCUGCGGAGGGGGCUGCAUUGCCGGGAAGGACCAUCUGAUUCUGGAUUCCAGCCUCACCCUGGGCCACCGCUGAGUGUCCCAAGUGGCCCCUUAGCCCCCAGGGCCAGGCGGCAUCCCAAUCCCCUAGGGAUGUCUGUGCUCAGAAUGUGGCACACACGCCCCGGCAGGGCCAUCCUCCUCCUCCUGCACCCGCCACAGCCGUGGAUUCGGGGUCUCUAUCGUGGGCAGAAAUUCACACAGUCAAGGUGAGGGUCCCAGGAGCAGCUGUGACCAGGCCCCGGCUGCCAGGGAGAGGGGGUCUUCAGCCGACGGGGCAGACACCCUGAGAUGGACCCUUGUCCAGGGGAGGGCCCUGCCACCCACAAUUCCUUGGCAUUCCUGC
rnacentral:lncRNA from 1 species